rnacentral:rRNA from 1 species
GACCUCGGAUCAGGUAGGGAUACCCGCUGAACUUAAGCAUAUCAAUAAGCGGAGGAAAAGAAACCAACAGGGAUUGCCCUAGUAACGGCGAGUGAAGCGGCAACAGCUCAAAUUUGAAAUCUGGCGUCUUUGGCGUCCGAGUUGUAAUUUGCAGAGGGCGCUUUGGCAUUGGCAGCGGUCCAAGUUCCUUGGAACAGGACGUCACAGAGGGUGAGAAUCCCGUACGUGGUCGCUAGCCUUUACCGUGUAAAGCCCCUUCGACGAGUCGAGUUGUUUGGGAAUGCAGCUCUAAAUGGGAGGUAAAUUUCUUCUAAAGCUAAAUACUGGCCAGAGACCGAUAGCGCACAAGUAGAGUGAUCGAAAGAUGAAAAGCACUUUGGAAAGAGAGUUAAAAAGCACGUGAAAUUGUUGAAAGGGAAGCGCUUGCAGCCAG